UGUAAGCGUAUACCCAAGUUGUUGCCGUUAAAACGCUCGUAGUCGGAAUUUGGCAGUUCCGGAUGUGUGCACGUCGUGUGCGCACUUCGCGGGGAUUGCUUUUGUGGUCUUGCGUAGGAUGAGGCACUUUUAUUAGUGAACGUCCUCACGCAACCACUUUUUACUGUGAGAAAAUCAGAGUGCUCAAAGCAGGCAUUUGCCGUGAAUGUAUUAGCAUGGAAUAAUAGAAUAGGACUUGGUUCUAUUUUGUUGGUUUGUUGGGACUGAGUAAUGAUUAAGAGGGACAGUUGGGGGCAUUUGUAUUUCGGUGCUAGAGGUGAAAUUCUUAGAUUACCGAAAGACAAACUGCUGCGAAAGCGUCUGCCAAGGAUGUUUUCAUUGA
rnacentral:rRNA from 1 species